rnacentral:rRNA from 1 species
GACGUAGGGCGCGAGCGUUGUCCGGAUUUAUUGGGCGUAAAGAGCUCGUAGGCGGCUUGUCGCGUCGACUGUGAAAACCCGCGGCUCAACUGCGGGCCUGCAGUCGAUACGGGCAGGCUAGAGUUCGGUAGGGGAGACUGGAAUUCUGGUGUAGCGGUGAAAUGCGCAGAUAUCAGGAGGAACACCGGUGGCGAAGGCGGGUCUC